CUAAUACUUCAUAAUAUCCAUCUCGUAUCGGAUUAAAGCUUUAUGCGCUUUGGAGGGGCCUGCGUAACAUUAGCUUGUUGGUGAGGUAAAAGCUCACCAAGGCUUCGAUGUUUAACUGGUUUGAGAGGAUGACCAGUCACACUGGGACUGAGAUACGGCCCUAGACUCCUACGGGAGGCAGCAGUAAGGAAUCUUCCACAAUGGGGCAACCCUGAUGGAGCAAUACCGCGUGCAGGAUGAAGCGUUUCGGCGUGUAAACUGCUUUUAUCACCGAAGAUUAUGACUGUAGGUGAAGAAUAAGGACCGGCUAACUACGUG
rnacentral:rRNA from 1 species